CCGUUAGCUUCAAAUCGUGAACCAACCAUCCGAUGAUAAAUUAUGAAAUAUGCAAGGUGGAAUGUAUAUCAUAAGAAAUGACCUCCGAAAUUAUCCUUUUAACCCUUUCGACUCGCGCCGACGACAGUUUUAGGCGGGGAGUUUCACUGGGGCGGUAUAUUUGUCAAAUCGUAAAGCAGGUGUCCUUAGGGCUAGCUCAGAGAGGACGGAAACCUCUUGUAGAGCAAAAGGGCAAAAACUCGUCUGAUCUUGAUUUCCAGUAAGAAUACAGACCGCGAAAGCGUGGCCUAGCGAUCCUUUUGAAUUAGAAGGUCUCUAGCAAGAGGUGUCUG
rnacentral:ncRNA from 1 species